rnacentral:rRNA from 1 species
UACGAAGGGUGCUAGCGUUGUUCGGAAUUACUGGGCGUAAAGAGCGCGUAGGCGGUUAUACAAGUCAGGGGUGAAAUCCCGGAGCUUAACUCCGGAACUGCCUUUGAAACUGUAUAGCUGGAGUAUGUGAGGGGAUAGCGGAAUUCCUAAUGUAGAGGUGAAAUUCGUAGAUAUUAGGAGGAACACCGGUGGCGAAGGCGGCUAUCUGGCACAUAACUGACGCUGAGGCGCGAAAGCGUGGGGAUCAAACAGG